AGCAGGUGCGAAAGCAGGUCAUAGUGAUCCGGUGGUUCUGUAUGGAAGGGCCAUCGCUCAACGGAUAAAAGGUACUCCGGGGAUAACAGGCUGAUACCGCCCAAGAGUUCAUAUCGACGGCGGUGUUUGGCACCUCGAUGUCGGCUCAUCACAUCCUGGGGCUGAAGUCGGUCCCAAGGGUAUGGCUGUUCGCCAUUUAAAGUGGUACGCGAGCUGGGUUUAGAACGUCGUGAGACAGUUCGGUCCCUAUCUGCCGUGGGCGUUGGAAGAUUGAAGGGGGCUGCUCCUAGUACGAGAGGACCGGAGUGGACGAACCUCUGGUGUUCGGGUUGUGUCGCCAGACGCAUUGCCCGGUAGCUAAGUUCGGAAUUGAUAAGCGCUGAAAGCAUCUAAGCGCGAAGCGAGCCCUGAGAUGAGUCUUCCCUGACAGUUUAACUGUCCUAAAGGGUUGUUCGAGACUAGAACGUUGAUAGGCAGGGUGUGUAAGCGUUGUGAGGCGUUGAGCUAACCUGUACUAAUUGCCCGUGAGGCUUAACCAUACAACACCCAAGGGGUUUUGUA
rnacentral:rRNA from 1 species